AAUUCUCAAACCUUCAAUGGGUUUUUCUUAUUGAAGGCUUUGGAUAUGGGGGUUUGCUGGCGUCUGUCAGCUCCCCUAAAAUGCAUUAGUGGUUACUGUUCUCCACUUCGACGUGAUAGUUAUCUGCGUCUAUAGGUGGGGAUGUUAAGUGUAGCUGCUCUCUAAUUGUCGCUAGACAAAUUGAACC
rnacentral:misc_RNA from 1 species